GUGUCAGCCGCCGCGGUAAUACGUAGGGUGCGAGCGUUGUCCGGAAUUAUUGGGCGUAAAGAGCUCGUAGGCGGUUCGUUGCGUCUGCCGUGAAAACCCGGGGCUUAACUCCGGGCCUGCGGUGGAUACGGGCGGACUGGAGUACUGCAGGGGAGACUGGAAUUCCUGGUGUAGCGGUGGAAUGCGCAGAUAUCAGGAGGAACACCGGUGGCGAAGGCGGGUCUCUGGGCAGGUACUGACGCUGAGGAGCGAAAGCGUGGGGAGCGAACAGGAUUAGAAACCCCCGUAGUCC
rnacentral:rRNA from 1 species